UAAGAAGAGAGUCGUAGAGGAGAUCAUCCUCCAUGGAGGUGCAGUUAAUCUUCAGUUCCGGGGUGCACUUGUUCCCCUUUCUUUGCAGCCAAUUCUCGGAACUGUGGCAGCUGAAGUACAGUCUGGCCAUCAUGCAGUUCACUUCUCCACCUGGUGUUCUAGUAUCUACAAGACGGCUCACAGGAUAUGGCUCAGAAUAUCAUCCGCAGCCCUUGAGAAGGAACGAAAGGUCCGUGACUGUGCUUAAUGACCACAUUCUUAUUAUUUGGUCUCCUUUGGCUAUUUCCUUCUGUCUCAGCAUUUCUCACUUCUCUGAUAAAUCUUGUUCUUUAAAGUUUCCACAGACCAAAGGCAUGCAGAGGAUAUGGUCAGGGAGCAAUGACCACAGGGUCCUGCUCCAUUUCUGAGGAAUCAGCUUCUUCCAAACUCCUAGUAACCUUGAUAUUUUGACCUCUUGCCAUGAAUCACCGAUGUUCAUGGCUUCCAAGAUGGUGAAUCCUUUCUGGGCGAUUGACCUUGCUCAGAUCCAUCAGAGGAAGCACUUUCUGUGGCAUCUACUCCUUAAAUCAUAAGACUGGAAAGUUGCAAUUACCCCUUGAUCCGUGGGCUGCCGAGUGGAUGUCCUGUUAACAAGCAUGAAAACAACAUGAGCCUCCUUGCACAGCACCAUCAGAACUCUCCGACGACCAUGUGCGUUCUCAGUGAGCAGUAACAUUUUGAAUAAAAAGCUUUUUUUUUUUUUUUUCUGAAACCACGUUGUAAACAAGAUGUGAUAUCACCCAGGUUUUGUGGUUCCAUUUAUAGAGCACAGGCAGGGUAGAUGUCAGGUAAUUCUUCUUUCAAUUUUUCAAAAUCACGUGUUUUAUUUUCUGCAGUGCUGGGUCUUCGUCGCUGCUCAG
ensembl:lncRNA